GGGCUGUUGGAGUUGAGGCCCAACGGGGUGCGGGCGUAGGCGUGGUUCUCCGGCACCUGCUGUGGGGACGCCCCGCGGGCAGCGGGCGGGAAAGGGCGUCUGUGUGCCGUCUUCCGCCGGGCUCCCGCCCGGCUCCCGGUCAGUCCGCACGGAGACUCCAUACCUCAGGCCAAGUAGAGAGCUCGUGGAAAACAGCCGUACAGUGUGUAAUGCAGUUUGCAGUAAAGCACUGGGACAGAACUUGCAGGUACCCUCACUGGUGAGCACUGUGAGAAAGGCUGGAAGCUGAGGAGAUACAUGCCCUAAUGCAGCCCGCCCAAAAGGAGGGACACGUGGCGGUGUUUCCAGAUACUGGUACCCCGGCCUGCCUACUUGCCUGGUUGGAAGGAGCCUUAUUCUACAGCCAAACUGAGGCCAGGAAGGGGAAGCGACAGCUGCUGUCACCCACAGAAGGAUGCAGCACCCCUGCCCCCGACAUGCUGCCCCAGAGAGGACCUCGCCUUGACUUGAAGUGUUUCCUCACCAGCCCAGAGAUCCCCGUGCUUUGGGGUGGGUCUCAGCAUCCAAGGCCACUGUUCAUGCCCAGAUCCUGCUGGGAAGAGCACUCCCCACCCCAGGGCUCCCUCCCUGUACCCACCCCCAUCCCCAGAGCAGCUCUGGUCCCCAAAACCUGUGGCUUCCCCCAGCGGGCCCUCGGGAGGGGCUCUCAACAUAGUUUUAAUAGUUCAGUUGUAUGGUUACCUGAGAUGAAGCUACGAUUCUUACUGAUCAAUAGAUUUUAUUUUCUAGAGAAACAUUCCAAAAGAGGGUUGAUGGAGGGGCAAUUAAAAGUGGUCAUUUGUAUUUAAAAGCCUGGGAACCACUGACAGAAUCUUUAUGUCCCAAAUUAUUUCCUGAAGUUACUUCUCCAAAUGGAAUUUCGGGUCAGCAAGCCCUGAUGAAGGCAUAUGGGCAGUGGGUAAGGAGGAGAAAUGUUGGGAGGAUUUCCAGAAAUCUUCAUUUCACACCUGACCCAGGUGAGGGCAGUGGAAAGAGAGGGGUGGUGAGAACCUCAAAGAAGCAGAAGGGCGGCGCUCCCAACCUUGGAGGCUUCAGUCAGCCUGAAAAUUGGUUUUCUUACUCAGCUGUCUACAGCGAGGAAAACACACAUGUGCCCAACACUAUCCCACGGGUCCAGGGCCUAAAAGAAAUAAAGUAAUAACUAUAAAAUAAACAAAAGGAAUUGCAG
rnacentral:lncRNA from 1 species